GGGUUAAGAACCUGAGCGCGCAUCGUGUUGUGAGCAGGCAGGCCAUCCGUGCAUCACUUCGCGCACGGAUUAGAACUGCACACUGUGCACGCGUCGUCCGAUUAGCAGGCCUGUGCGAACAGACCCUAUGCGCAUGGGGCCUGCGCACGUGGUGCCUAGUACACCUGGGCCCUGCAUGCAUGACAACAGGCUUGUGCGCCUGCAGGCUAGCCUGCAGCACGCCGCUGCCACUGGCGAAGGAAAUUUUCCUCCCUUGUUUUUCGUGCUAAGAAUAUUUUCUCCUCUCUCUUCACCAGAUUUAGUCACUUCACAUG
rnacentral:lncRNA from 1 species